UACGUAGGUGACAAGCGUUUGUUCGGAUUCAUUGGGGCGUAAAGGGUGCGUAGGCGGCGCGGUAAGUCGGGUGUGAAAUCUCGGGGCUUAACUCCGAAACUGCAUUCGAUACUGCCGUGCUUGAGGACUGGAGAGGAGACUGGAAUUUACGGUGUAGCGGUGAAAUGCGUAGAUAUCGUAAGGAAGACCAGUGGCGAAGGCGGGUCUCUGGACAGUUCCUGACGCUGAAG
rnacentral:rRNA from 1 species